rnacentral:ncRNA from 1 species
UUAUGUGGCAUAUAGUUUAUGAAUACAAAGCCGCGUGCCUGGUCGAUAAUGUGAAACAGCGGAUUCCAGUCAAACAGGUUUAACAUAAAGGUCGGCAGGGUGUUGACCACGAACAUCUUGCCCGAGGCGAUCAUGUUGGCGCGUU